ACUCCCCGUGCGCCAGUGUAGGCCCCGGCUAGAUGAGUUGUGUGUGUAUUUUGGUGUUUUUAAGAGGCUGUAACUUUUGCUUCCAGCGCCAGCCGUACAGUGACCUCAUACCUCACGCAGUAAUAAACCCUGAUUGUGCAAGGGUGAAGUGUGUGUGUGUGUGUGUGUGUUCAUCAUUCUGGUAUUUCUAACAGCUGGUUUCAGUUAGAGCUCACAGCCAGAGCUUCCUGGGGCCUCGGGAUGGGGGGUGUGUGUGUGUCUGUGUGAGAAAGUGUGUUUAAACAGGAUAGUGUGUGUGUGUGUGUGUUGCUGGGUAGAAGUUGCUGUGUAUAUGUCUGAGGGGGUCAUGGAUGGGGGAUGGGGAGGGUGCAGAGCUUAGAGAAAGAGGGGCCUGAUGAAUUGGUGGGAAGAGUGUGUAGGAGGAGGCCGGCAAUGUAAAGGCUCCAGGUGCGGUGGAGUUGUGUGCGUGUGUGUGUGUGUCACUCGCUGUGUGUGUAGUAGGACAGAACGAGUGUGUGUGUGUGUAUGUAAAGUGUUUGUAGAGAAAGACACAGAAAAAGAUGGAGACACUAAGAAGAAUAGACAACAGAAAAGUGUGUGUUUCCAGGAAGGCCACAGCAGACAGUAGAGGACCUGUGAAGAUGUCAGCUGGAACGAGGCCAAGCUGGAUCACACCAGUCUGCUGAUCUGUUAUCUGUUCAGUGGAGGGUUAUGACCAGGGUUAUAUAGUGUAGUGGAGGGUUAUGUAAAGUACAGGGUUGUGUAGUGUAGGGUUAUGACCAGGGUUAUGUAGAGUAGUGUAGGGUUAUGUAGAGUAGUGUAGGGUUAUGACCAGGGUUAUGUAGUGUAGUGUAGGGUUACGACCAGGGUUAUGUAGUGUAGUGUAGGGUUAUGUAUAGUUGUGUAGGAUUAUAACCAGGGUUGUGUAGUGUAGGGUUAUGGCCACGGUUAUGUAGAGUAGUGUAGGGUUAUGACCAGGGUUAUGUAGGGUUAUGACCAGGGUUAUGUAGUGUAGUGUAGGGGUUAUGACCAGGGUUAUGUAGUGUAGGGUUAUGGCCAGGGUUAUGUAGAGUAGUGUAGGGUUAUGACCAGAGUUAUGUAGAGUAGUGUAGGGUUAUGACCAGGGUUAUGUAGUGUAGUGUAGGGUUAUGACCAGGGUUAUGUAGAGUAGUGUAGGGUUAU